AUACGAAGGGGGCUAGCGUUGCUCGGAAUCACUGGGCGUAAAGCGCACGUAGGCGGAUCAUUAAGUCGGGGGUGAAAUCCUGGAGCUCAACUCCAGAACUGCCUUCGAUACUGAAGAUCUCGAGUCCGGGAGAGGUGAGUGGAACUCCGAGUGUAGAGGUGAAAUUCGUAGAUAUUCGGAAGAACACCAGUGGCGAAGGCGGCUCACUGGCCCGGUACUAACGCUGAGGUGCGAAAGCGUGGGGAGCAAACAG
rnacentral:rRNA from 1 species